CCUUGUAUCAUAGUAAUAAAAAUUUCAGCAAGAGAAAUAUAUACCGAAAAAGCUUCCAUUCCCUUUUUUUUUUCAAUAGGCUGAAUGGGAAAAAAUAAAAAAUAAAAAAAAAAAAGCAUAUCAUUUUAAAGUUUAUAAAUUCAGUUUCUCUUUGCUUAUAAAUGUAAUGUGAAUCAAAUGGCUGCAAACUUGUCCAAGUAAUCAGUAAAAUCUAUCAAAGUUGUGCUCACAUGGAAACAAUUUGCAGGAGUUUUAAAGAAGGUGUAUACAAGAAGUAAAUCAAAGGAUCAAACCCUGAGCAGGUGCAGGCUUGGAAGAGUGCAGUUCACUUGUUGCUGCCGCUUUCGGGGACUCAGAAAGG
rnacentral:lncRNA from 1 species